rnacentral:rRNA from 1 species
UACGUAGGGUGCGAGCGUUGUCCGGAAUUAUUGGGCGUAAAGAGCUUGUAGGUGGUUUGUCGCGUCUGCUGUGAAAAUCCGAGGCUCAACCUCGGACUUGCAGUGGGUACGGGCAGACUAGAGUGUGGUAGGGGAGACUGGAAUUCCUGGUGUAGCGGUGGAAUGCGCAGAUAUCAGGAGGAACACCGAUGGCGAAGGCAGGUCUCUGGGCCAUUACUGACGCUGAGAAGCGAAAGCGUGGGGAGCGAACAGG